GAUGAACGCUGGCGGCGUGCCUAACACAUGCAAGUCGAGCGAUUUACUUCGGUAAAGAGCGGCGGACGGGUGAGUAACGCGUGGGUAACCUGCCCUGUACACACGGAUAACAUACCGAAAGGUAUGCUAAUACGAGAUAACAUACUUUUAUCGCAUGGUAGAAGUAUCAAAGCUCUGGCGGUACAGGAUAGACCCGCGUCUGAUUAGCUAGUUGGUAAGGUAACGGCUUACCAAGGCGACGAUCAGUAGCCGACCUGAGAGGGUGAUCGGCCACAUUGGAACUGAGACACGGUCCAAACUCCUACGGGAGGCAGCAGUGGGGAAUAUUGCACAAUGGGCGAAAGCCUGAUGCAGCAACGCCGCGUGAGCGAUGAAGGCCUUCGGGUCGUAAAGCUCUGUCCUCAAGGAAGAUAAUGACGGUACUUGAGGAGGAAGCCCCGGCUAACUACGUGCCAGCAGCCGCAGUAA
rnacentral:rRNA from 1 species